GCUCAGGAUGAACGCUGGCGGCGUGCCUAAUACAUGCAAGUCGAACGAGUUCUCGUUGAUGAUCGGUGCUUGCACCGAGAUUCAACAUGGAACGAGUGGCGGACGGGUGAGUAACACGUGGGUAACCUGCCCUUAAGUGGGGGAUAACAUUUGGAAACAGAUGCUAAUACCGCAUAGAUCCAAGAACCGCAUGGUUCUUGGCUGAAAGAUGGCGUAAGCUAUCGCUUUUGGAUGGACCCGCGGCGUAUUAGCUAGUUGGUGAGGUAAUGGCUCACCAAGGCGAUGAUACGUAGCCGAACUGAGAGGUUGAUCGGCCACAUUGGGACUGAGACACGGCCCAAACUCCUACGGGAGGCAGCAGUAGGGAAUCUUCCACAAUGGACGCAAGUCUGAUGGAGCAACGCCGCGUGAGUGAAGAAGGCUUUCGGGUCGUAAAACUCUGUUGUUGGAGAAGAAUGGUCGGCAGAGUAACUGUUGUCGGCGUGACGGUAUCCAACCAGAAAGCCACGGCUAACUACGUGCCAGCAGCCGCGGUAAUACGUAGGUGGCAAGCGUUAUCCGGAUUUAUUGGGCGUAAAGCGAGCGCAGGCGGUUUUUUAAGUCUGAUGUGAAAGCCCUCGGCUUAACCGAGGAAGC
rnacentral:rRNA from 2 species